rnacentral:piRNA from 1 species
GACAAAGUAGAGGUAGUAGAACA